rnacentral:misc_RNA from 1 species
CCGAGUUUACAACUCCCAAACCCACUGUGAACCUUACCUAUCGUUGCUUCGGCGGGAUCGCCCUGGCGCCUCGCGGCACCAGAUCUCAGGCGCCCGCCGGGGGCCCGAAACUCUUGUUUUCAGUGGUACUCUGAGCAUACAAAACAAAAUGAAUCA